AUUGAACGCUAGCGGGAUGCCUUACACAUGCAAGUCGAACGGCAGCACGGACUUCGGUCUGGUGGCGAGUGGCGAAUGGGUGAGUAAUGUAUCGGAACGUGCCCAGUAGCGGGGGAUAACUACUCGAAAGAGUAGCUAAUACCGCAUACGCCCUACGGGGGAAAGGGGGGGACCGCAAGACCUCUCACUAUUGGAGCGGCCGAUAUCGGAUUAGAUAGUUGGUGGGGUAAAGGCCCACCAAGGCGACGAUCCGUAGCUGGUUUGAGAGGACGACCAGCCGCACUGGGUCGGCGACGCGGCCCAGACUCCUACGGGAGGCAGCAGUGGGGAAUUUUGGACAAUGGGCGCAACCCUGAUCCAGCAAUGCCGCGUGAGUGAAGAAGGCCUUCGGGUUGUAAAGCUCUUUUGUCAGGGAAGAAACACCGGCUCUAACACAGUCCGGGAAUGACGGUACCUGAAGAAUAAGCACCGGCUAACUACGUGCCAGCCGCCGCGGUAA
rnacentral:rRNA from 1 species